UACAAUGCCUCUUGAAGUGAACUUUUGAACC
rnacentral:piRNA from 1 species